UCCACCCCUGCAGUUUUCCCCAGUCCUCAUACACGUGCACCUGGCAUGUCACAAUUCAAAUGUGACUCUUCAGGUAGACAUUCCCUAAGCAAUCCCCCUAAUGUGUCUUCUGUGUUUUAUAAAAAAAGAUGGGAGAGACCAGAGAUAUGGUGGGGCUGUGAUACGGUGUGGGGAAGGGGGUGCCUUUGUGGGCCUGUGCUGAGGCUUCCCUUCCCCCUCUGAGGUAAAGAAUGUACCAGAAGAUCUUUGUAUAAGGGUGUUGCGGUCAGGAUCACACAACCUUGACUCAGUUCCAUCAAGAUCCAAAUCCAUCCACUAAGGACCCAUCCACUGGUCUCCAGGCCUGUGUUCCUCCAUGCUUUCACUAUGCCAAGACCCCCCCCCCUUUUAAAAGGCACCAUGCAGCUGUUCACCAGGAUCCUUGCAAACUCGCCGAUCCUUAGAAGUUUUAGAGUCUCUGAGCACUCACUUCUAGAUGACUGCUGUGUGUGCCAAUCGAACGUUCAACUAAAGACAUAUCUCCUGCAACUGUCUUUUUCGCCACCAAGGUUAGCUUUAACAUGCCGGCUGACAGUUACAAAGCAGCAAUCCUGAACGUCCGGGCCAAGGAUUGUGAUGUAUUAACAUGUCAUUAAAAUAGGACAUCGCAAAGUCAACAUACAAUUAUAACUGUUGACCUAUCAAAUCCUGACAGGUUUUAAAAGCUCGGUGGAAACCAAAUGCCAUUUUAUUAGAUGGACCGGGAAAAGGGAAACGCCUGUGGAUGUGGUGAUGUUCCAAUGGAGUUGGUUUGAUGCGUUAAUGGUCUUUGCUAAUAUUUUCUUUUGCAAAGCAAACAGAUCAUAUACCCACAUGUAUUACAUCAUAAAUUUACAAAUGCGUUCUGUAUAUAUGCCUCCACACACACACAUACACAUACACAAUGCGCGGUACCACAUAGUUGAUGUGGAGUGAUCUACUGUGGCUUACCUAAUGGCCCUGGGAUGAUUUUAACAGGGUCUCUGUAUCAACCGAAACAAU